CAGUAAACGGCGGCCGUAACUAUAACGGUCCUAAGGUAGCGAAAUUCCUUGUCGGGUAAGUUCCGACCCGCACGAAUGGCGUAACGAUGGCCCUACUGUCUCCUCCCGAGACUCAGCGAAGUUGAAGUGUUUGUGAAGAUGCAAUCUCCCCGCUGCUAGACGGAAAGACCCCGUGAACCUUUACUGUAGCUUUGCAUUGGACUUUGAAGUGGUUUGUGUAGGAUAGGUGGGAGGCUUUGAAGCUGGAACGCUAGUUUCAGUGGAGCCGUCCUUGAAAUACCACCCUGACCCCUUUGAGGUUCUAACCUUGGUCCGUUAUCCGGAUCGGGGACCGUGCAUGGUAGGCAGUUUGACUGGGGCGGUCUCCUCCCAAAUUGUAACGGAGGAGCUCGAAGGUCGCCUAGGUACGGUCGGACAUCGUACUGAUAGUGUAAUGGCAAAAGGCGGCUUAACUGCGAGACCGACAAGUCGAGCAGGUGCGAAAGCAGGACAUAGUGAUCCGGUGGUUCUGAAUGGAAGGGCCAUCGCUCAACGGAUAAAAGGUACUCCGGGGAUAACAGGCUGAUUCCGCCCAAGAGUUCACAUCGACGGCGGAGUUUGGCACCUCGAUGUCGGCUCAUCACAUCCUGGGGCUGUAGCCGGUCCCAAGGGUAUGGCUGUUCGCCAUUUAAAGUGGUACGUGAGCUGGGUUCAAAACGUCGUGAGACAGUUUGGUCCCUAUCUGCAGUGGGCGUUGGAAGUUUGAGGGGGGCUGCUCCUAGUACGAGAGGACCGGAGUGGACUGACCUCUGGUGUACCGGUUGUCACGCCAGUGGCAUUGCCGGGUAGCUAAGUCGGGAAUAGAUAAGCGCUGAAAGCAUCUAAGCGCGAAACUAGCCUCAAGAUGAGACUUCCCUAGGUCUUUAAGACCUCUAAAGGAUCGUUCGAGACCAGGACGUUGAUAGGUCGGGUGUGGAAGCGCAGUAAUGCGUUAAGCUAACCGAUACUAAUUGCCCGUGAGGCUUGAUCCU
rnacentral:rRNA from 1 species